UCGUCGAUCUUGGAGAAGAGGGCGUCAGUGAGCGCAGAGAGGGCCUUCUUCUCAUCCUUGGGCUUGGCGGCGAUGACGGUGUUCAGAUCGUAGCGGAGGUAGCUGGCCCUGAGGCGGAGGUCGUUCUGGACGUAUGGCCAGGCCUUCUUCUCGAUGAGCGCCUUCAUGUUGAGAAUCUCCUUGGCGGACUCCUUGGCUCUCUGCACGGCUUCCGUGGGGGGAAGCAGCUGGAGGUAGAAGCGGUUCUUCAGCGGCAGCUGGAAAUCUCUGGCCUCGUCGGAGUUCCGAGUUCCGGUCAGUCCGCCAGAGGGCGUUGGAGGAGGACCGAUCUUGAUCGCCCUGGCUUCCGCCAGCACAGCCUUCACGAAGGAUCCCCCGGCGAGUCCCACCGCCACCAGUCCCAUCGCCGCCCGCCAGCUGGUCUGCCCCGC
rnacentral:lncRNA from 1 species